rnacentral:lncRNA from 1 species
CCUUCUAGAGAGUUGUUAAUAACAUCAAGGCGAACUCACUGGUUCAAGAAUCAAUCAAAAAGAUGCACUACAGCUCGAGAUAUCACGAUCGGAAGGUUUUCGUUUUCGAUUUUUGAUCGGGGCUGGCUUCCAGCUUCCACCACGCGCAGCACCACCGUGAAAGGACACUUCUGGGAGUUCCUGGAGGUUGAGGUGAGCUCGAGGAUGAAUUUUGGUGAGGAUUGGUGACCGGUAGCUUGAGAUAUCAAGUUUGGAACCAAAAUGAGCUCAAACCGGGCAGAGCUUCCCGCCGCCGCUGGUGGCCGUGUCGCGG